CAGCCCGCCCGCCCCGCCUCGCGGAGAGCACAUGAAAUGGAAAAAAUGCACUGGCAGCUUUGUUUAUGGUCAUAUGACUCACUCUUGGCUAGUCUCACUCUGUUAUUUCUGGCUGAGGAGGAAAUACUUCUGUAUCUUGCAUGGAAAUAUAUAACCUAUGAUUAUGAUGCUUUCAUAAUACAAUUUGAAUUCUGCUUUUAAAGUUUAUCCUAAACAUUUACAUGCAUAACUUAAAUUUUUUGGUUUUUAUGGCAGCAAAAUAGUUUUUCAAGAUAAGGUCCUGUUGUAUAAGGAGUCAUUUUACUACCGUUGGAUUUGUAAGUGAUCUUAACUCAAAUUCUAUUGAGAAAAUAAAAUAAUAAAAUGAAAAUGAAUAAAGGUGUCACAAUGUCUGGAUACAGUUUUUUUUUUAAAGGAUACAGUUUUUGAAAUGUACUAUUGCAGUGCUUUGUGCUUAUCUUGGAGCAUAACCAGUUGGCUGUAUUAUAACAGAUGGAUGAUUUUUGUCCUUGUUUUCAACUCUUAUGUGAAAAUAUAUGACAUAUAAUCAUGAUUAUUACAUAUUUCAAUUUGAAUUCUGAUUUUUAAGUUUAUCCUUCACAUUUGCAUAUGUAACCUAAAAUUUUUACUUUUGUGGCAGCAAAAUAGUCUUUCAACAUUGUGCACUAUCAUAUAAGGAAUAAUUUUCCUACCGUUAGAUACUUAUAAGAUAAUUUUGCUUAUAUUCUACUGAGAAAUUAAAAUAAUAAAUAUGAAAUAGGUAAUGGAAAUAAAGAUGUCACAAUGUCUUGGAAACAUUUGAAAAUCUACUAUGGCAAGUCUUAAUGCUUGCCUUGGAGCAUUAUUAAUUGAUCAGUUGGGUGGCAUAUUUUUUCUUUUUUGUUGAAACAGGC